CAAGCAUAGGGGUUGGGUGUGUGGCUUGCCUGUCUGACUUAUUUCACUGUGGGGCACCUGCAGGCCUGUACGGAGAUCAAUCUGACCUUUGACAGCAACAACGUGACAGACAUGUUCCCUGAAAUCCCUUUCUCUGAUGAACUCCGCCAGCAAUACUGCCUGGAUACAUGGGGCGUGUGGCCUCGGCCAGACUGGCUGCAGACCAGCUUCUGGGGUGGCGGUAAAGGGCUGGGCUGGUGACUGGGAGCCGGGUGCUGGGAAGGACCCUGCCCUCUGUCCUGAGCUGCUUCUGUCGGAUACCUCACCACCACUUGCUGUGUUCCUUUU
rnacentral:lncRNA from 1 species